AACAGCUUAAUGGGUUAGAAUCCUUUAUCUUUCCAGCUAUUAUAGCCAUUAGCUGAAAAGAUAAGGCAUUUUAACCCAUUAAGCCUCAGU